rnacentral:rRNA from 1 species
CAGUCGCCGCGGUAAUACGUAGGUGGCAAGCGUUGUCCGGAAUUAUUGGGCGUAAAGGGCUCGCAGGCGGUUUCUUAAGUCUGAUGUGAAAGCCCCCGGCUCAACCGGGGAGGGUCAUUGGAAACUGGGAAACUUGAGUGCAGAAGAGGAGAGUGGAAUUCCACGUGUAGCGGUGAAAUGCGUAGAGAUGUGGAGGAACACCAGUGGCGAAGGCGGCUUUCUGGACGAAAACUGACGCUGAGGCGCGAAAGCUAGGGGAGCGAACGGGAUUAGAUACCCCGGUAGUCCCUGUCUCUUAUAC